GACGAACGCUGGCGGCGUGCUUAACACAUGCAAGUCGAACGGAAAGGCCCUGCUUUUGUGGGGUGCUCGAGUGGCGAACGGGUGAGUAACACGUGAGUAACCUGCCCUUGACUUUGGGAUAACUUCAGGAAACUGGGGCUAAUACCGGAUAGGAGCUCCUGCUGCAUGGUGGGGGUUGGAAAGUUUCGGCGGUUGGGGAUGGACUCGCGGCUUAUCAGCUUGUUGGUGGGGUAGUGGCUUACCAAGGCUUUGACGGGUAGCCGGCCUGAGAGGGUGACCGGCCACAUUGGGACUGAGAUACGGCCCAGACUCCUACGGGGGGCAGCAGUGGGGAAUAUUGCACCAUGGGGGGAAGCCUGAUGCAGCAACGCCGCGUGCGGGAUGACGGCCUUCGGGUUGUAAACCGCUUUCGCCUGUGACGAAGCGUGAGUGACGGUAAUGGGUAAAGAAGCACCGGCUAACUACGUG
rnacentral:rRNA from 1 species